rnacentral:lncRNA from 1 species
CGGGAGGAGGGCUUGCCAGAGUUAUGGCUGAUUUGUCAGAGCUCUGGCAAGGUGAAGACCAUGGAUCACAAUCAUGGAAAGGAGCUGCUCCAACUCCGCGUCAGCAAGUAAACGGCCCAGGAAGCCUCUGGGAAUGAGGGCAAAGCAGCUUUGUGUCUGCCUGGGCAGGUGCUGGAAGAAAGUAGAAGAAAAAAGCUUUGGGGGCUGGAGAUCAAGACGUUCCAGGAAACGUCUGGCACAUAUCAAUGCACGUGAGGUAGGAGGCAGAGUGUGGAGGUGGUGGCGUUUCAGUUUAGUGUGCUCCAGCUCUCUCCCUCCUUCUUUCCCUCUGGAUGCCCUUUUCUCUACCCUCUCCCCCACUGCCCCCUCCUGGACCUCCAGGUGCCAAGUUAGCACCGUCGUGUUAGCCCAGCCCCUAGAGGAGGCACCUUGCCCAGGCCUGCACACCUACUUCGGGAUCGCAACCACAAAUGCCUGCAGGUGCCAGCCAGGUCAGCCACAAGAAUGAGUUGCCCAGUGAUGGCUUUAUGCUACCAUCAGUUGAAGAUCCAAGAUGGAAACCUAAAGUCCACAUUUUUCCUGCUAUGCCAAGCUACCCUUAAACAGGAAGCAAAAUUUAUGAACUUCAGAAUUAAAUUCAAAGGAUAUAGUACUUGGUGAAUUGCACAAAGGAUCACUCAAUCCUUCCAACCGAGGAGAGAAACUGUGAUUGGAAAGCUCCCUUCCCAAAGAGAUAAAAGAGAAGACAGACACACAGAGCGAGAAGGUGUUGUGAAGAACGGGGCAGAGAUUGGAGCGAUGCAGCCACAGGGCAAGGAAUGCCUGAAGCCACCAGCAGCUGGAAGAAGGAUUCUCUCCUAGAGAUUUCAGAGGGAGCAUGCUCUGCAAACACUUUGAUUUUGGACUUCUGGCCUCCAGAACUCAUCACCCCAGCAGUGACCUCUCACCCUGGAAGCAGUAUUAGUUCCAGUUGGUAGCAGUUUCCAGCCUCUUUCAAUACUCCCAGUACCAGCUCCAUCACAAGUGCUCUGAGGUACCAGCACCAGCUGGGCAGUGCUCCCUCCUCAGAAGUCUGAGUCCUAUGUCUGAGGGCCCCUUCUGCAAGCCUCUAGGGUCUGCUGACCCCAGCCCCAGAGCUGUUUGUUAGCUACUUACAGUUACUGGCUUUUGUUACCUCCUGGUUCCCUGUUUGCCUUUUCAGCCUCCCUAAUACCUGUUCAAC